AGUGUGGGACGGACGGUGAACGGAUGGGGACCGCGGUCGGACGGUGACGGUGGAAUGUGGAUAGUGUGGACAAACAGUGUGGACAGAGGACAGAGAGGUCAGUGGUGAGGACUGAGGAGAGAUUCAGUCAGGAGUGUGAGGGACUCGGUCUGAGCGAGUGUGUGAUGAGCCGAAUCGGUAACUUUUAUCAGUAACUGACUUUAGCUAUGGGGGCGGUGAUUAAUUUAUUCAGACGUAAUUCGACCCCGCUUCAUAACCGUGGCUAUAUGUGAGCUCUGUAGAGACGUGUUAAAAACGGAGCGAUCCGCACCAUGGGCUCUCUGAGAAAGAUGUUCAAGACCCGUCUGCCGGCCCUAGCGACUCUGUGGUCGGCUAGCGGUGGGCCUGGCGGUGCUGAAGAGGACGACGACCCUGGUGAUGCUGCCGAGCUGCAUUCUGUGACAACACACUCUCCAACCACUGAAGGAAUCGAGCCGACCUACGGCAGGGCCGGCAAGCAGCCGGACAUGACGUACGAGCUGAUGCGGGAGUGCCCAGAGAUCAUUGAGGAGGUUGUGGAGAGGCGCUACAACACGGGCACCAUAGUCCGGCCGCAUCUCCGGCACGGUCUUCGGCGUCUCUCUGUGCAGGAUGUGUUUGAAGAAGGCAGCCUAGACGCAAGACACGCUGACGCUGAGUCUAUAGAACUCGGUGGAGGAGCAGACACAGCAGGAGUGGGCGGUGAUGAGGGCCGCGAUCACACCGGAGAGUCGACCAGCGACAGCGGCCUGUCCUCCGGAAAGGGCAGUGACGCUGGCGACACGUACGCCGUCCCCAAGAGUGAGACGUACGAGGUUCCGCGUGCCGCCGUGACCCAGGAGGCUGGAGCCGAGGACCCUGGUAGUGGCUCCGAGGACCGACCGAACGGAGCAGAGACCGAAAACUGGUCCUGCGACAGUGUCGGUGAGCCUUCCUCAGACAGUGACGGCGCGAACGGUGGAGCGGAGCUGGACGGGUGUUAUGUGGAGUGUCUCCGGGACCCGCCCGAUGAAAACGUCUACCUGGAGCCCAAGACAGUGGAGGAGAUUGAGCGGGACAGGCAAAAUCUGCUGAAUGGAGGGACAUCACAGGUGGCUGAGGGCAGCCCAGCCUAUCCAGGGGGUGUAGGACAGCCAUUCUUUCUGCAUCAGCCCGAGACGUCUGGAGGGGAGACCUAUUCUGGUAGACUCAGCGCAUUGCCGCACAAGGCACGCAGUCUUCAAAACCUCCAACAAUGCUUCAUCCAGGUCCAUAACACCGAAGCAUUAGCAGUCCCCAGCACAGACCGCAAAACGCACACAAGAUCGAAACCGAAUAAGAAACUAGACCGCUCUUCGAAGAGCCCUGUCGCAGCAAUAAACCAAUCAAUCAACGACAAUUUCGUACUAAGGCCGUCGAAGCAGUUCGAGACAUAUGGCCAUGGCAUGCGCUCUUCACUGUCGUUCCGUUCGUCGUUAUAUAGCACUGCGGCUGCGUGGGACGCCGACAGACAGCCCUGGGACGGCUAUAGCGAGCUGACGUGCCCGCCGCCGGCGCUGGAGGACCGUACUGAGGACGAGCCCCUGCCCAGCUCACGCGGCAGUACCCUGGAGCGGGGGUACGAGCGGCUGCCGCUGCGCCGGCACAGCGCCGAGCUGCAGCCGUCAGAGCCGCUGUACGCCAACAGCGGAGAGCUGCAGAAGCUGCUGGUCCAGCAGCUGCGUGAGCAGCAGCUCCGUGAGCAGACGAACCCCUCCGAGCCGCCCGACCAGCCGGACGGGCCCGCCCCGGGGAUGGCGCACAUAGCGCCGCGGGGAAAGAGACGGCGACGGGGGCGGAUCACAGCGCCUGUGGAUGCCGGUCAGGCUCUGGAAACGCACCCCGAGCACACCGAGACGCCGUCGUCACCUGCCGAGGCUCUGCUGGCGCUCAGAACCAAGGACUCCAAGUUCGCGUGUGUUCGCAUCAAGCCGGCCACCAGAGGUCGGGGCACGAUGCGUAAGUCGAGUUCCAUGAACGACAUCGGCCCGGUGCUGUUUACUCCGCCACCAUCGGCACCGGUUCUCCCUUCAGUCCACACCCGUCUGCCGUCAGCAGCUGAGAGCAGCGACCAGCAGCCGCCGGAGGAGACGCCCGCUGCUCCGGCCUCCCCUGUGUCAGCGGCGCCCCUGUGGCUGACCCUGGGCGCCCUCUGGGUGACCGUCUGCGGCUGGGCGGGCGCCGCCGGACGGGCGCUGGGCAGGGCGGCGGCGCCCCUCUCCGGCUGGUUGGGCGUCAAGUACAUGAGCCUGCACCGGAACCAUCCGUGGCUGCCAGACCUGGUGGACCAGCCGGACCUGGACUAUUGGAUACAGCGCACCAAACAGGGCAGUAACGGUUUCGAAGAGCUCCGGAAAUACAUCAAACAUGGUGGCGACUUUUGCAAGGAGCUUGCAUCUAUCUUGCAAGAAAGGUCCGACCUGGAGGUCGCCUACGCUCGCGGCCUGCAGAAGCUGGCUGCUAAGCUGCUCAAGGCCUCCAGAGACGGUUUGGGCAGCGUGAACCAGGCCUGGCAGCGAGUCGGAACGGAGAUGGAACACCAGGCAGACAUCCACAAAACGCUGGCGGUCACCUACACCGAGGAGCUGGUAAAGCCUCUGCGCGGGCUGCUGGAAUCCCAGCACAAGGCGCGCAGGACCGUGGAGACGAAUGUCGACAAGACGGCAAAAAACCUGGCUGAGUGGCGCUCGGCGGAGGCCAAGGCCAAGAAGCUCUCCUACCAAUGUGCGCGGGAGAACGAGCGAGCCGAGGAGCAGGCGCUGGAGGCGAGACUGGCGCACGACAGCGCCAGAAAGGACGCCGGAAAGGUCGAGAGUCGGAGGCAGAAAACCGAGAACGCCCUGGCCAAGGCGGACACCGAGUACUACAACUUCUGCUUACGAAGUGAACGAGCGCGGCUGGAGUGGGAGACAGCCCUGAACAAGGGCAGUCAGUGUUUCCAGCGUCUGGAAGAGGAGCGACUAACCAGACUCCGGGCGGCGCUACAGGCUUACCACCAGAGCCUGGCGGAGCUGGCACCGAAAAUAGCGCAGAGCGCCAGCCGUCUCUCGGAGCCCGUGUCGGGGGCGGACGUCUCCCAGGACGUGCAGACGGUGCUCCAGGUGAAGCGGCCCGACCAGCCGGCCGAGCAGCUGCUGCCCGACUUCUACGCCGAGGAUAUGACCAACGCCAUGAAUAGAGAUAGGAGGAAAAAGGCUCUGGAGCAGUUUGCGCGCCUUCUGGAGCAGGAUGUCGGCCGGGAACGGAGGGGGAAGAGUGGUGUGGAGAACCUGGCCAAGGCCAUGAAGGAGUCGCCCCAGUUCAGCACCGAGAGCUCCCAGAAGGACGUCAAGGAGAAGCUGCAGCACUUGCGCUCCACGCUGGCGUACCUGGAGGCCAGUCGGUUCAAAGUGCAGGCGGCGCUGGCAGAGACGGAGGGACAGCCCCGACCUCAGCAUCCGCUCAGCCGGCACAUUCAGCAGCUCAAGGACCGGCAGGGCAUGGUCCAGAGCGUCCUACGGGUGCCGAACUGGGUGAGCCUGGAGCCUUCCAACACCUCUCCGGACCAGUCUCCCGCGUGGAGCGCUGACCGUGACCGGGGCACGGCCGACGGGACCUCCCAGAGGCCGCCAUCAGACUCGGAUGAGCUGAGCACAGAAGACAGUCCGCCUGAAUCCACACCUGUAUCGGCUGUGACGUCACCGCCAACAGCUGAGCCGACCUGUGACCCGGUCAAAGACCCGCCCGAGGGGGCGCCAUGCCGAGACCGGUACCAGGCCAUUUACGACUACAAGGCUAACAUGAAUGACGAACUCACUAUCCGAGCAGGUGACGUCAUCGAGGUCCAUGACCGCCAGCCGGACGGCUGGUGGCUUGGGGAACUGCGAGGCACCAUCGGCAUCUUCCCGGCCACCUACGUCCGGCAACUCAUCUGAACUACCGGCAACUCGGCUGAACGACCGGCAACUCGGCUGAACGACCGGCAAUUCGUCUGACCGACUGACAGCUCAUCUGGACGACCGGCAACUCAGCUGACUGAACGACAGCUCAUCUUAUCGACCGAUAGCUCGUAUGACUGACUGACAACUGACAGGUCGGUUACGCAGAUGAUCAUAUAGGUGACCAGAUCGACAGUUUUCUGAUAGGAUCGACCGUUGAUCUGUUGGGAACGACGGUUUAGCUUACCGCUCCAACCAGUUCUGUAGAUUGAACUUGCAGUUCAGCCGAUCGAGUUUAGCUAGUUGGACAUCAUCUGACCGAACUGGUAACUCAUCUGACUGAGCUACAACUCAGCUGACUCGACCUCAACUCAUCUGACCGAGCCGACAACUCAUCUGACCGACCCGACAGCUCAUUUGACCGAACAACUAGCUCAGAGAGGUUACGAGCCAAAUGUUUGAUUUAAUCGUACGAGCAGUGCCGUUUCUCGUUGUGACUGAGCACAUCAGUGCGCCAACUGACUUAAAAGAGAAAUGGUUUCUGUUGUUUGUUUGGAAAUGUGAUCUGCUUUAUUCUACCACUUUAGAAUAUAGGUUGAUCAGACAAAAAUGGUGCAGGCUUUAUUGAGACUUGUUUACACGAGCAGAUCAAAGACCUGAAAAAGUAAGUGAACAAAAUGUUGAGAUGGCUGAAUCUUUUGUAAAUUAUAUUUUUCGUGAGCCCUCGUGUCUUGCUGUUUACGUGCCACUUUGUUGUGCUUUAGUAGCUUUUCUGCAUGCAUAGUAGAUCAAAGUAAAAUGCAUCGUUCAUGUGCUCUCUUGUAAUGUUGUACAGCAUUGCAGUGAUAAGACAGGGACCAAGUGGAAUUGAUUGGUGAAGCGCUUCGCCAUGCAAUAAGUCGACAGUGCCGAGCCUCGAUGAGUGACAUACGAGGUUGUGUAUAAAUAAUGUCAGACUACAUACAUGCUGACAAGUCUGAAUAAAUGGUUCAAUCUAUGACAUGCAUAAUUAUAUGGUGAAAUGAGGUAAGCUCAUCAAACUGCGAUUGAAAGAUUAGAAAUGCGUAGCGCUUAUAGGGAAUGUCGUUUGAUCUAAUUCAUCAUUAAUUUCGACGUUUGAUCCGCUCAAUGAGAGCGAAUUGUUUAUUUUCCCUAAAUAUUUGUUUUUUGCUGGUGUGAUGGAUAUUAACAUCGAAUGACGUCCUAUGAAUGCGGUGUCCUGAUAUCAGGUUUUGUAAAUAGCAAAAUAUAGCUACAAAUACAAAGAUGUGUUGCGA
rnacentral:misc_RNA from 1 species